rnacentral:rRNA from 1 species
UCCAGACUCCUACGGGAGGCAGCAGUGAGGAAUAUUGGUCAAUGGGCGGAAGCCUGAACCAGCCAAGUCGCGUGAGGGAAUAAGGCCCUACGGGUCGUAAACCUCUUUUGCCGGGGAGCAAGGGCGGGGACGUGUCCCGGCCCGGAGAGUACCCGGAGAAAAAGCAUCGGCUAACUCCGUGCCAGCAGCCGCGGUAAUACGGAGGGCGCGAGCGUUAAUCGGAAUUACUGGGCGUAAAGCGCGCGUAGGCUGGUGUGUAAGUUGGGGGUGAAAUCCCACGGCUCAACCGUGGAACAGCCCUUGAUACUGCGCGACUUGAAUCCGGGAGAGGGUGGCGGAAUUCCAGGUGUAGGAGUGAAAUCCGUAGAUAUCUGGAGGAACAUCAGUGGCGAAGGCGGCCACCUGGACCGGUAUUGACGCUGAGGCGCGAAAGCGUGGGGAGCAAACAGGAUUAGAUACCCCAGUACAC